AGUGAACGCUGGCGGUAGGCCUAACACAUGCAAGUCGAACGGCAGCACAGUAAGAGCUUGCUCUUACGGGUGGCGAGUGGCGGACGGGUGAGGAAUACAUCGGAAUCUACUUUUUCGUGGGGGAUAACGUAGGGAAACUUACGCUAAUACCGCAUACUACCUACGGGUGAAAGCAGGGGAUCUUCGGACCUUGCGCGAUUGAAUGAGCCGAUGUCGGAUUAGCUAGUUGGCGGGGUAAAGGCCCACCAAGGCGACGAUCCGUAGCUGGUCUGAGAGGAUGAUCAGCCACAAUGGAACUGAGACACGGUCCAGACUCCUACGGGAGGCAGCAGUGGGGAAUAUUGGACAAUGGGCGCAAGCCUGAUCCAGCAAUACCGCGUGGGUGAAGAAGGCCUUCGGGUUGUAAAGCCCUUUUGUUGGGAAAGAAAAGCAGCAGGUUAAUACCCCGCUGUUCUGACGGUACCCAAAGAAUAAGCACCGGCUAACUUCGUG
rnacentral:rRNA from 1 species